rnacentral:tRNA from 1 species
GUGCGGUUGGCGCAGUGGUCAGCGCGUUCGCUUCUCAACGCGGAAGGUUCCAGUACCGAAUAUGGGGGGUGGCACCCUCAUUAGACAGUGCUGGAAUCCGCGGUGGCUGCGAAAGGUCCUGGGUUCGACUCCCAGACUGCACA